GUAUGCUAAAGAAACACCAGAGAAUCAUGUCAAAGAAACACCAAUUCCUAAUCUUUCAUACCUGGUUCUUUUCUGCAAGAUUUCAGAGAAAGCUGUGGUGUGGCAGGACGGGCACAGUACAGAUGGAGCAGAAGAAUGAUGCAAGGAUGAGUCAAUCUUCCCAAGAGCCCAUAUCUGGGAUGACUAUCAGCAUGACUAUUUGGUACCUGAAGGUGUCAUUAACUCAUCACCUUGUACCAUACUCUUAUUUCUGGAUGUAUGCGGGACAGUCUACAGGAUCUUCUGUCUUAGAAUGAAGAGGGUAUGAAACAAACAGGAUAUAGACUGGAAUCUAAGUGUCAUUUUACAGUCAAUAAAAUGGCAGUCACACCUAAGUGAUGACCAUGGCACUGUCUUGUUUCAGCACCUGACGUCUCCUGACAGGAGAAGAAAUGCACUUUCCUGUAUGUUAAGAAAUCAUAUUCAGACCUGUUAAAACAAGAAUAAUACAGUUUGUGCAAAUUUUACAUAUUGAAGUAUGCAACAGGGACACAUGGUGAUUCUGUUAUCCUUUAAGAUCUAAACUCUUACAUCUUUUUACUAAGAAAUGUGUAAAUACAAAAGCUAAUGAUCUACAGAUGCAAUGAAAGGAUGCCGUGGAUUUUUCCACUGUUUCUGUAUAGGUCACUUGAUGUGACAAUAAAUUGUAAAUGGAUUUCCCUACAUUCACCACAGCUCAAGUCACACAUCUUAGCAGGACAAAAACCUCAGAAUGAUGAAAGAGAAUUCACUUUAUUACUUCUUGAGCAUAUAGAAAAGUUAAGGCAAGGCACAUUCAGUUGAAAGGUUGUUAAAUGUUUUCUAUUAAAAAUA